GUGCUCGCUUCGGCAGCACAUAUACUAAAACUGGAACGAUACAGAGAAGAUUAGCAUGGUCCCUGAGCAAGGAUGACACGCAAAUUCGUGAAGUGUUCCAAUUAAAA
rnacentral:snRNA from 1 species